rnacentral:rRNA from 1 species
GCAAGUCGAACGAGUUCUGAUUAUUGAAAGGUGCUUGCAUCUUGAUUUAAUUUUGAACGAGUGGCGGACGGGUGAGUAACACGUGGGUAACCUGCCCUUAAGUGGGGGAUAACAUUUGGAAACAGAUGCUAAUACCGCAUAAAUCCAAGAACCGCAUGGUUCUUGGCUGAAAGAUGGCGUAAGCUAUCGCUUUUGGAUGGACCCGCGGCGUAUUAGCUAGUUGGUGAGGUAACGGCUCACCAAGGCAAUGAUACGUAGCCGAACUGAGAGGUUGAUCGGCCACAUUGGGACUGAGACACGGCCCAAACUCCUACGGGAGGCAGCAGUAGGGAAUCUUCCACAAUGGACGCAAGUCUGAUGGAGCAACGCCGCGUGAGUGAAGAAGGCUUUCGGGUCGUAAAACUCUGUUGUUGGAGAAGAAUGGUCGGCAGAGUAACUGUUGUCGGCGUGACGGUAUCCAACCAGAAAGCCACGGCUAACUACGUGCCAGCAGCCGCGGUAAUACGUAGGUGGCAAGCGUUAUCCGGAUUUAUUGGGCGUAAAGCGAGCGCAGGCGGUUUUUUAAGUCUGAUGUGAAAGCCCUCGGCUUAACCGAGGAAGUGCAUCGGAAACUGGGAAACUUGAGUGCAGAAGAGGACAGUGGAACUCCAUGUGUAGCGGUGAAAUGCGUAGAUAUAUGGAAGAACACCAGUGGCGAAGGCGGCUGUCUGGUCUGUAACUGACGCUGAGGCUCGAAAGCAUGGGUAGCGAACAGGAUUAGAUACCCUGGUAGUCCAUGCCGUAAACGAUGAAUGCUAGGUGUUGGAGGGUUUCCGCCCUUCAGUGC